UAGGGAAUCUUCGGCAAUGGACGAAAGUCUGACCGAGCAACGCCGCGUGAGUGAAGAAGGUUUUCGGAUCGUAAAACUCUGUUGUUAGAGAAGAACAAGGACGUUAGUAACUGAUCGUCCCCUGACGGUAUCUAACCAGAAAGCCACGGCUAACUACGUGCCAGCAGCCGCGGUAAUACGUAGGUGGCAAGCGUUGUCCGGAUUUAUUGGGCGUAAAGCGAGCGCAGGCGGUUUCUUAAGUCUGAUGUGAAAGCCCCCGGCUCAACCGGGGAGGGUCAUUGGAAACUGGGAGACUUGAGUGCAGAAGAGGGGAGUGGAAUUCCAUGUGUAGCGGUGAAAUGCGUAGAUAUAUGGAGGAACACCAGUGGCGAAGGCGGCUCUCUGGUCUGUAACUGACGCUGAGGCUCGAAAGCGUGGGGAGCAAACAGG
rnacentral:rRNA from 1 species